rnacentral:rRNA from 1 species
GAUGAACGCUGGCGGCGUGCCUAAUACAUGCAAGUCGAGCGAACAGAUGAGGAGCUUGCUCCUCUGACGUUAGCGGCGGACGGGUGAGUAACACGUGGAUAACCUACCUAUAAGACUGGGAUAACUUCGGGAAACCGGAGCUAAUACCGGAUAAUAUAUUGAACCGCAUGGUUCAAUAGUGAAAGACGGUUUUGCUGUCACUUAUAGCUGGAUCCGCGCCGCAUUAGCUAGUUGGUAAGGUAACGGCUUACCAAGGCAACGAUGCGUAGCCGACCUGAGAGGGUGAUCGGCCACACUGGAACUGAGACACGGUCCAGACUCCUACGGGAGGCAGCAGUAGGGAAUAUUCCGCAAUGGGCGAAAGCCUGACGGAGCAACGCCGCGUGAGUGAUGAAGGUCUUCGGAUCGUAAAACUCUGUUAUUAGGGAAGAACAAAUGUGUAAGUAACUAUGCACGUCUUGACGGUACCUAAUCAGAAAGCCACGGCUAACUACGUG